UACGGGGGGGCAAGCGUUGUUCGGAAUUACUGGGCGUAAAGGGCUCGUAGGCGGCCAACUAAGUCAGACGUGAAAUCCCUCGGCUUAACCGGGGAACUGCGUCUGAUACUGGAUGGCUUGAGUUUGGGAGAGGGAUGCGGAAUUCCAGGUGUAGCGGUGAAAUGCGUAGAUAUCUGGAGGAACACCGGUGGCGAAGGCGGCAUCCUGGACCAACACUGACGCUGAUGAGCGAAAGCUAGGGGAGCAAACAGG
rnacentral:rRNA from 1 species